rnacentral:lncRNA from 1 species
AUAUAUAUAUAUAUAUAUUACAAGAAUGGUUCCAUAGUACACGGAUAACCCACUCGCACUAUCAUUUUCUAUGUUCAGUAGAGUCAAAACUUCAAUUUGGCAUUAAAAUAAGAAGGAUCAAAUCAUAAGGAACAUGUACGAAUUUUCAAGUUGAUUUGACUUCAAAUUCAUAAAAAAAUACCUUGACCUAAAACUUUAAUCUGAAGCGGGACAUACACUCAAUUUUGUCAAUAAAACGGAACUAUAAACAAAUGUCAUACUAGUGACAGGUGUAGUUAUCUACAAAAAAAAUUGAACCCACUAUUGUCUUCGAAAAAUACCCGAACCAAGUCAAGUAGAUAUGUUGUAUUUUACUUGUUCUGUUGGUUGAUACUAUUAGGUCUUGUCAGCUUUUAGGGACUUUCUCCUUUAUUAGUUCGUUAUAUUUGUUAUUUUCUCAUUUUCGUAUUUUUCGUAAUUUUCUUGUUUAUAUUUGAAGUUAAACCAAUAUGCCUUUAUUUAUCAACUAAAUUCAUGCAAAACAAAACUAAAAAUGUAAUUUGAAUAAAUAACAGAAAAU